ACGUUGUUCGGAAUCACUGGGCUUAAAGGGCGCGUAGGCGGGCUGUCAAGUCUGGGGUGAAAUCCCGCGGCUCAACCGUGGAACUGCCUCAGAUACUGACGGCCUCGAGGGAGAUAGGGGCGAGCGGAACUAAUGGUGGAGCGGUGAAAUGCGUUGAUAUCAUUAGGAACUCCGGUGGCGAAGGCGGCUCGCUGGAUCUUUUCUGACGCUGAGGCGCGAAAGCUAG
rnacentral:rRNA from 1 species